CCUACGGUGGGCAGCAGUGAGGAAUAUUGGUCAAUGGACGAGAGUCUGAACCAGCCAAGUAGCGUGAAGGAUGACUGCCCUAUGGGUUGUAAACUUCUUUUACAUGGGAAUAAAAUGUUCCACGUGUGGGAUUUUGUAUGUACCAUAUGAAUAAGGAUCGGCUAACUCCGCGCCAGCAGCCGCGGUAAUACGGAGGAUCCGAGCGUUAACUGGAUUUUUUGGGGUUAAAGGGAGCGUAGGUGGAUUGUUAAGUCAGUUGUGAAAGUUUGGGGCUCAACCGUAGAAUUGCAGUUGAAACUGGCAGUCUUGAGUACAGUAGAGGUGGGCGGAAUUCGUGGUGUAGCGGUGAAAUGCUUAGAGAUCACGAAGAACUCCGGUUGCGAAGGCAGCUCACUGGACUGCAACUGACACUGAGGCUCGAAAGUGUGGGUAUCAAACAGGAUUAGAUACCCGGGUAGUC
rnacentral:rRNA from 1 species